rnacentral:tRNA from 1 species
GAGGGUGUAGCCAAGUGGUAGGGUACCUGCUUAGCAUGCAAGAGGGCCUGGGUUCAAUCCCCAGUACCUCCA